UGUAUUUCUAUAUUGAUUGCUGUUUUAAUAACUGUCUGUUUUAAUUUCUUUGUACGCACUGGUGUAGCAGUGUGAUAUGCCAAAGCUUUUGUUCUUAGUUCCUUUAGCACCGUGGUUGUACAUGCACACGUUUCAGUAAUAGCUAUCUGUGUCUUUGGGGUCUUCUCGUUUGAAACUGGUUUUGUGUAUUGUACUGAAACACUGUUAAAGAUUCACCCUGUGGUACAGUAUAAAAUGCAGAUGUGUGAGAUGACACAUUGUUGUAUUCUGAAUGGCUAAACGGCCUACAGUAAAGCUCACUCCUGUUCUCGUUUAGCUGCUGAACUAUGCGAAGCUUUGCGACACUUGAUUCUUAAGCUGUAUGCAGAUUGCCUCUCAGCUGAUGGCAAGGUAAAUCGUGUGAGCAUUAAAGUGGUUGUAGCUAACACAAUGCUAUAAGAAAUCCCACCUGCCAUGCACUAUAUUGUGCAAAUUCGAAAGAAACACAUGAUAAUGCAUAUUUAAAAUGAAAUGUAUUUUUGUUGUAAAACAAAUCUCUGGUUCUGUACUAGGUAAAACAAAGUUCAGUUUGCUUGCCCUGCCUUUCAGGAAGUCUGUUACACUUGACUUUUUUUUUUUUACCAUACUGUAUAUUAUGUUUUAAAUGAAAAUGCAUGUUUGAUGAAACAAGUAUUUAUUUAAAAGCUACAAAUGAGAGACUAGUGAAUGGAUGUGCAUGGCACGGACACUUUAUGGAAGUGUCUUGUUAGCUACAAUCACUUUAACCUGACAUUUACAAGGUGAAAAGCAUUUGGGCUGAUUUGUGGAAUUGUGUGAAACUGUUUUGUCCUAGUUUGUAGAUUAUAAGGCCAUGGCCAAAAGCCAGACGUUUGAGAAGUAUUGCGAGCUGGCUAUUCAGCUGCAGCACGUGGAACUGGAGAUUAUGAGCAGGGAGGAGAAGCUGUCUUUCUUCAUUAACAUCUAUAACACCCUGGUCAUCCACAGGCACAUGAAGAUGGGCUCUCCAAAAAACAUGUGGCAGAGGUACAGAGUGAGUAUGUGAAUAAAUACCGCUGUAUAAUCAGAAUAGACUGGGAAAUGACAGGGGAUCACAGCAUCUGAUCGGCCUCAGUUAAUAUGCACAGUGACCUCAGCACUGAUGCAGGUAGUGCUAACUUGAACCGAGAUUGAUUUUGUACAAAGAACUCCGGUAAGGCUAUGUAGACCUUUCGUACACAUUCAUAGAUUUUCUGCUUAAAUGCAAUAAAGCAAAUGAGGUUACUUGUUUUGUACAAAUAGGGAUUUUCAAACAACACUGCAUUGAACAAUGACCGGCUGUUUUUUCGAUUGUUAUCUCUGGUUGCAGUUUUUUUAACUAUGUAAGUUACCUUAUUGGAGAAGCAGUGUUUACACUUCAAGACAUUGAAAACAGGAUUCUUCGAGGGAACAGGAAAGGUGUUGCCUAGUUGAUAAGGCCAUUCUCUAAGGGAGAUCCUCGCCUUCAGAUUGCUCUCCCCGAUGCCGAACCUCUUAUUCACUUUGCUUUAAACUGUGGUGCAAAGGGGUGCCCCCCUAUUAAAACCUAUACCGCUAAGUGGAUCUUGAAUCACAUGGGAAAUUCUCCAAAGAAAAAGGAACUGGAUGCCCUUCUACAGGCAGCUAGCUACACACUUGUCAAUCUACCCUACGAUUGGUCUACUAACGGAAAGGACUGAAAAGAAAUACAGCAUGCAACAUGAGCUCUGAAUGCAGAUAUCUGGCAAACAACUAUAUUCCUGAUGCAUGAUAGCGUUGGGUGGCAGCAGAACACACUGAAGCACAAGGCAGAACAAUUAAGAAAAACAAAAAAGAAAAACGCCUGGCAAGUCAUACACUCUAGAAUAUGCACACAGAUAUAAAACUCCUGAAAUCAGAGUCAGUAUGUGAAACAAAUAUAUAUAACUCUUUCACUCUUCAAAAUACUGUAAAUGCAACACAAAUCACCUCUUUAGACCAUUCUGAUAGUAGCUAGCGGGCCUGUUUUCCAGGCAGGAAGAUGUCAAACCUCUUUUAAACUCGACUCCUUCCUUGUUUGUUUAUUAUUAUUAUUAUUAUUAUUAUUAUUAUUAUUAUUAUUAUUAUUAUUAAUAUUUUAUUUAGCAGAUGCCUUUAUCCAAGGUGACUUACAGAGACUAGGGUGUGUGAACUAUGCAUCAGCUGCAGAGUCACUUACAAUUACAUCUCACCCGAAAGAUGGAGCACAAGGAGGUUAAGUGACUUGCUCAGGUUUACACAAUGAGUCAGUGGCUGAGGUGGGAUUUGAACCGGGGACCUCCUGGUUACAAGCCCUUUUUUUUAACCACUGGACCACACAGCCGCCGAAGUUUAUGGUCCGUUUGACUCAGGAAAGAACUUUCUACUGUAUAUUGUCUUUGGUAAGCAGGUUUUAAAAACAAAACAAAAAAAUUGGUUUUACUUUGGCAAUAGCGUUACUUCCAGGGUCACUGUAGAAAAAUAUAAUUCUUCUGGCACAGAUAAGGAAGGUACUUGGUUAAAAGUGAUACUAGUGCUACUGCUCGCAUGUUCAUUGGCAUGUAUUCAUUGGUUUCAUCUGUGCCCAUUGCAUGUUUUAUUAUGUCCAGCUCCGUUAGGAUCUUCUUUAACCUGUUCUAUGAUAGUGCCUUCUUAUUGACCUGCAUGACAGUUAAUAAAUACCUCAAUGAUAUAAACCUGAAUUGAUAUAACCACUUUAAUUUUCUAGUCCAGUGAGUCUACAUUGUAUAGAUGAUUUGUUGGGUGUUUCUGUGUUGAUGCAUUUAAUUUCUUUUAGGAGGAAGAUUUGUACACGUUUCAGAUUUUAGGUAUAAACAGCUGAGAUUUUGUCUUCCAAAUCAGAUACAACCGUCUGGCCGUUCAGAAGCAUAGCACAACUGAAUUGAGUUUUAGAUGCUGAGCUUUAUGCAAGUCUGUCUUUUUAAUUUACAUUUUUUAAAUACAAAAUAUUCUAUUUCGCCUGAAUGCCACCUUUUGACUGCAAGCCUAACAUAUUUAAAUUGUCAUGACAAAAUGUAACUAAUUGUCUAAAAGCUACAGCAUCUACUGAUUUUUAUUCCACAUCAAUAUUAAUCUCAGAAGGGUUAGUAAAUGAAGUUGAUCUGAGGUAGCCUAUUGACUAGAUUCAAAAUCUAUUUUUCUAAUUAGAAAUGUUUAAAAAGACAAAUUUUAAUGAUCUAAAAACUAUGGCAGAUCUUAAUACAGUCAGCAUUGUCUAAUCGGGAUACUGAUAAUCGGGAUUUCUGCUUAAAUGAGAUACAUCUCUGGGGGACGGUUCUUCCCAAUGCUAUUUAUGUCGUUUAAUUGGGGUGUAGUAUUGUCAAAUGAUGAAUGGAGAUAGUUUUUCAGAGCAAGACUGGUUCGGAUAGCACAGGGCAGCGAGUACGCGAUUACACUGACUUGCGUAAACCACCUUGAACUCCUGAAGGAGGAGUCUCCUGGGGUUUCUCAGGCUGCUAUUGCAAUGAAAGUUGGCAUAUCAACAUCGCAGGUGGCCUCGCCUUGUGAUAUGAUUUAAUUAUUUUUCAUUUCAAGUAGAAAUAAAAAACAGAAAUUCAUUUUGUUUAGGAAUAAAAAUCUGUAUUUAACAUUUAAUCAUAAUGUGAUUUAAUUAUUUUUCUUUUCAUUUAAAAACAAAAAAGUGUGACUAAGGUCGUCUGAAAUGCCUCGUUUAAUUGGGACAGCCAAGGUGUCCCGAUAAAGUGGCGCCGACUGUACCAAUGCCUCCCAACAAUCAUAAACGGUCUCUGUAAUACUUCUUUCCACCACAUUUUAUUGAUGAGGGUUGUUUUUUUUAUAGUUGUUUUAAUUAUGAUGGCAGUAAUAAUGAGAUCUACUGCUGUUUGAAUAAUUAAAUGUAGCUUAACUUUUUACUUGUUUCAGUUAUAAUACUCCUGGCAUGCAGAUUAGUAUGAUAUUAUUUACACAUCUGUAAACUC